GCGUGCGCUCGGGCUGGUCGGCCGUCAAGGUCUGUACCGUUCGGGUCACGCCCCACUGUAGGAUACUCACCGCUGUCCUUAACUGGGUGGCGGUCAAAGGGGGUGUACAUGGGGGCAACUCUGUGUAUAUCUCUGGGGUUCCUACUCAUUUACUUUGAGCAAAUUAGAGUGUUCAAAGCAGGCAAUCGAGCCUUGAAUACUUCAGCAUGGGAUAAUGGAACAGGACUGGUGUCCUGAUUUCGUUGGUUUCUAGGAUAUCAGUA
rnacentral:rRNA from 1 species